CGCAAUGGGCGAAGCCUGACGGAGCAAUGCCGCGUGAAGGAUGAAGGCCUGUGGGUUGUAAACUUCUUUUCUCAGAGAAGAAAUUUUGACGGUAUCUGAGGAAUAAGCAUCGGCUAACUCUGUGCCAGCAGCCGCGGUAAGACAGAGGAUGCAAGCGUUAUCCGGAAUGAUUGGGCGUAAAGCGUCUGUAGGUGGCUUGACAAGUCUCCUGUCAAAGAUCAGGGCUUAACCCUGGGCCGGCAGGAGAAACUAUCAGGCUAGAGUUCGGUAGGGGCAGAGGGAAUUCCCGGUGGAGCGGUGAAAUGCGUAGAUAUCGGGAGGAACACCAAAGGCGAAAGCACUCUGCUGGGCCAUAACUGACACUGAGAGACGAAAGCGA
rnacentral:rRNA from 1 species